rnacentral:rRNA from 1 species
AGAGUUUGAUCCUGGCUCAGGAUGAACGCUAGCUACAGGCUUAACACAUGCAAGUCGAGGGGAAACGACAUCGAAAGCUUGCUUUUGAUGGGCGUCGACCGGCGCACGGGUGAGUAACGCGUAUCCAACCUGCCCACCACUUGGGGAUAACCUUGCGAAAGUAAGACUAAUACCCAAUGACGUCUCUAGAAGACAUCUGAAAGAGAUUAAAGAUUUAUCGGUGAUGGAUGGGGAUGCGUCUGAUUAGCUUGUUGGGCGGGGUAACGGCCACCAAGGCGACGAUCGAGUAGGGGUUCUGAGACGGAAGGUCCCCCACAUUGGAACUGAGACACGGUCCAAACUCCGUACGGGAGGCA